UGUGGGGUUUUUUUUAGUCUUUUUUUUUCCCUAUUCAAGAAUACAACUUAGAAGUUAUAUUUUAUUUGGAGAAGUACUUACAGAAAAACAUCAAAGAGGUGCGUAAUAAUCCAGCUUGCCAGUUGAACCUAAACAGAUUCUCUGAGUCCUUGGUGAUAUAUACAGUACCCUUUCGGACACUCCCCCUGUUAGCCUUCUAAGAGUCAUCCUUUGAGUUACUACCCUUGUCAUUGCCUUUUGAUUCAUUGUGCUUGAAACCACUGAGUAGGCCAACAUCAGACUGGUACUCUAUUUGGAGAAAGCCAAAUUUUAUUUUGUGAAGUAAAACCUAACAGAUGAAUGUAAUUAUUCAGGCUUUUUUUGUAUCUUAUAAAGCUGUACCAAGUUCAAGUCUAGCAUGUCUCGUGCUCCACUUCAGAAUUUAAAUAUUGAUUGAGCCAUAUCGAUAACUAGAGCCAAACGAAUAAUGAAUACACACACAUAAAAAUAAAAAAAAACUCUAAAAAAAAAAAGAAUAAACAUAAUACGCUUCAAAUAAACUUAGCUGUAAAAUCAGAUUUAAAAAAACAAAAAAACAAAAAAACAAACACAUUAAGGGAUUUUCCCAGUCAGAUGAAUCUAAGGAUCCCAAAAUAUUAUGAGAAAAUUAGAUAUGAUUGGAGAACAAGAAGACCCAUCGCCAUUCACCAUUUAAUGAGCAGCUAAAGCUGAGUCAAGAGUAGUCCCAUAUUACCAAGAAGUGCAAGAAAGUCCAUCAAUCCCUGGAAACCAUUCUUCUUUUUAAGACUGUAUCUCCUUUCCAGCUGUUUAGUUUCUUCUCAUCUCUGGGGCACUGUAGUUACAGAAUUUACUGUAGCACUGCUCCCAAGAUGGAUGAAGGGAAAAGUGGGAUAUAUAUGCGACCUCUCACUACAGCAUGCAGAGAAACAUAGGGACACUUCUAGUGAAUGUAGAGAAAAUAAAGCAGUUCCAAGCAGAGCCAGCUGCAGGAUGGUCAUUCUAUUCAGAGGAUUUUGUAAUAGAUUGCUCUCCAUGUAAGAAUAAAAACAAAGCUUUAUGAGUUUUUUAAAGAAUGAAAUCAUACUGAAAAAUGUUUUGGUCUGCCAAACGAGUUUGAGGACUGGAGAAGCUUAUUGUUAGUGCUUGUUAAAAGCUCAGCUCCAUCUGUUUCUGCACCUAGGCAAGACGGAAGCUUUUCAAUGAAAGUCAGACUAUAUCCGAUGUAAGCGAAAGGCUCUACUGCUCAUACAUGAGAGGAGAAAGCACAUUUCAUUGAAAGUUCAGAGCAGAGGCAUUGGGAUGAAUUAUAGAACUCAGUGUGAAUGGGGAAGAGGAAGAGAUUUGGGGAACAGUCUGAAAGUGUUUGCUGCCUUGUGAAGGCAGACCCCAGAGUAUUCAGAUAUUCAGAAAUGAAUGCUGAACAGCCAGUGGAAUUCAAGGGAUGGCUGGUGGUCAGGUUUUGAUUUUCAUUCUUCAUAGGUCAUGGCAACAAGGCCCAUUGUACAUGCACAGGCUAUUCUCAUAGAUCUUCUGUACCUCCUAUUUUACUAUGACAGGUAAAUAAACUACCAAAUCUGUCUGAAGGAACAUUCAUGGUCUGUUAGACAAUCAUAAUGCACAAUAUCAAAUAUAACUCAAUUGUAAAAAGCUAUUACUCUUUAUUGAAUAAUACCCUUGAUGAUCUCUAAAGAAAAAAAUCCAGCUUUUGUAAAGGCCAAGGGAAUGAAUAAUAGAAAUCCCAAAUUUUUGCACAUUAAGACAGACAAUAUGCAGUGGUGGUGGUACCCACUGGUAAAGGUGAAAGGGUGUUCCUUUAUCCCAAGCAGUGUUUUUUGUGUUGCUGAAAUUUAGUCAUGUUUGUAUGUGCAGACCAUGAUAACUGGAGUGGCUUGCAGUUUCUACACUCAGAAUGAGUAUUUUUUUAUCUGUCAAUGUUACAGUAGUCAUGUGGGGGGUAGGAAAAUCUACGGAUAGUAAGCAGCUUUCCUCCUAUCUUGUUUAAUGUUCCUUUUUCAAUAGCUUUUACUUUAUCUUGUCAAAGGGCUUAAGUUUUGUUACAGUGUGUAGUGUCUUCUCUUAUGCUUCCAUUUUCACAUGUUUACAUCAAGGUUUCAGCUACAAGUCAGGUGGGUGCUCAAACAUGCCUUCAAGGCUUCCUUGAAGAACUUUCCUGUGUACCCACAGUCCUUUGUAUGCUUGGUUUCAAUGUCCUUGUCCUCUGUGGGCAUCUAUGGAUCAUGCACCUGUAGAACGCAACCAGCCCUGCACAUAUGGAUAGUAUUUUAAUCUUUUGGAGUAACAUCCAAGAUUUUCUCAAUAAACAUUUUGUUUUACCGUCUCCUCUAGAAGAGGACAUGAAGGUGUUUUUGGUAUCUUCUCUCAUUCAGUAUGUUUGCCUUCUUUGUAUACUCUACCUCUGCAAUAGCACAAUCACCACAACAGUUUUGCACAGGUAAGAUAGUUGAGGCAAUACACCUUCUCCAGAGAGAGGUCUGCCACUACACAGGUCUUGCAUUUUUUCUACACUGAAUGUUAGUGCAAAAAUUGUUGCAGAAGCAGCCUGAGUAUGUUGACCAGAAUGGGCUAUCCAUGCACAGUCCUCUGCACACAAAAUGUGAUUUUGUAAUUUUAGAUAGGGUGUUAGGUCAGGGGAAAUCAGAGGCACCUCUUGAAAUUCAAGAGUCGUGAAUGCAAGCAAGACAAAUUGGUUAAACUCUGUUCCAGAUCUGUGUUUGUCCCAGAAAGAGGUCAGCAAGGACUCUGCUGCCCUUUUCCUCUGUCAUGAAGUCCAUUGUGAAGCUCUUGCUAAACCAAUUCAUGGGAUUUGCCAUUCUUCCUUAAUGUUGGCAUAAUCAAGGACACUGUAAGCAGUAGAAAUGCGGCUCUUUCCAACAUUUAUCUGUUCAGAUUUUCACAUUUCAUUUCCUGUGGUUGCUCAGCAGCUUCUGUGUAUUGCUUGAGGGUGAUGUUUUCUUAUGCCUUGGACCCGUUCAUGCCAUAGCUUGUCCAUCUGCAUCACAUUUAGCAGAGUCUAUUCUGGCAUCUCUCAAAGUCCUUUAAUGAACCAAGGUGUGGUCAGAACAGCCUAAUUUACGGAAUUUUGGAUGCUUAUUGCUCUCAUGUUAUUUGUUGUGCUGGAGAUGAUCAGCUCUGUUGCGCAUACAGUCUUAGGCAGUUGGCAGUGGUUGACUUAGAACCACUUUGAAGUCAACCAGCACCUUGUUAUAAACCACUCAGAUAGUCAGCGUGUCUGGCCCAGAGUAGAAUUAAUGUCUAAGCUGCCCUUCAGAGCUCAUAGUAGAUCGUAUGGCAAUGUGUAUUGUGUUUGCACAGCAACCUGAGGUAAGAGGAGGCCAAGCACAUCUAGCAGUCCGUUACGCACCUUGAUAGCCGGUCAUCUCCAGCAACAACUCAGUUUGAUGUUAUAAAGCCAGCAGUAAACAUUUAAACAUUGUUUAAACGCUUUGUUGUUUUUAACUAAGAAUGCAGCUAGAAAAAAAAAGAUUACAUGAAGAGAAAAUAGAAUUUUUUCUUGCGUUUGUAUUUUGUUCCUGUUUUUGAGGUUACCUAAAUAUCCCUGAAGCAAGUUAAAAAAAUCUAAGAUCAUAAAUGAUUGCUUCUGCUGCAGUAAGCUGAGUGACAGUUGUUUCAGUCACACUUUCUCCUUCAUUCACAUGCUGAAUUCCUUUUCCUGUUAUCAGACUGGAGCUCUUCAAGGUGAUAUUUUACAGUACUUGUCCUUAUCAUACAUACUCUAAAUUUUGCUUUCUUUGAAGAUUUAUCUGAAAAAUGUAUAGGUCUGAUUAUACAAGCUCAUAUAUGCUAGCACUAUUUAUUUCACUGUUUGUUUUGUUUUAAUACAUAUUUGACUCAAACCAGCCAUAUACAAUGGUAAAAAAAAAACACCAAAAAACACACAUGGCUAUUUUUUACAUACUCUGUUCAUCAGAACAAUUCACAGCCUGUGUUUGGUGUUGCCUUCUUUUACCAACUAAUUGAUAUGCAAACUUUGCCUCUGCCAGUAACUCUCCUAAUUCGGGCUGCAUUUCAUCUGAAAUUGCAGCCCUGCAAGACAUAGUCAUAGACUGUCAUGAGUCUUCUUUAUUUAGCAAUCAAAAUUAAAUGUCUCGUACUGUAAUUUACAGUUUUUUUCCUGCAUAUCUCAGCACUUGGGAAAGCUCUUCAAGUCUGCAGUUCUGAAAUAGCAGUAGUAUGUACCCAGCGGUUACUUUCUUCCCAACUGAGAGUAACAGGAAAAGCAGGAUAUCAUCUCAUCUUCCCGGUGGAGCUCUCGGUUCCUGGACUGCCUGUGCCAAGUGCCUCAUGAAGAUGAAGCACCUGCAUUGUAAAUGCAAUGUAAAUCUAUGUGAUCAGAGGAAAGAACACAUAGAGAAGGCAUCAAGGCUGCACAGGAGCUUCAUGGGUGCUGCAGGUGUCCCAUGAGUAUGUUUGGAAAGACAUAUCACGAACCAUCUCCUCCAACAACUGGAGCAAUGCAUUGCGUUGUUCGACACUCCAUCACAGGAAUCUCUAUUCCUGUUGUUGCAGAAGUGGGAUUGAUGUUUGAAGUUGUGGUGCUCAGAACUUCCCCAGGGACUGGAGAGACACAUAUACCUAUAUAAAUACAUCUCAGAUCAUUAAACUUCUACAGAAAGCAGAGCUCAAGGAAGAAAACCAAUUACUCCUCUAUGAUGCUUUGAAGUAGAUCACAUUCACCAGCACCAGAAUGGCGUGUGAGUCAAUCACUCCUGGAGCAAAAAGUUCCUUGAUUUUACCUGGAGAAAAUUUUGGAAAACAGAGCCAUAAGAGAUAUGGCUCCAAGAAGCACCUCCAAAACUCAAAAAAGGGACAACAGUGGUGCAUAUGCUUACUGGAAAGCUGGGGAUCAGUGCCACAGAGGUUACAAGAAUCCGAUAUCCUGGUACCUCUAGAGACUCUCCACCCUGUUCGUUUACUUCCAAAGAGACUUUAUGAAUGAUCUUCGACAAAACCACA